UACAGAGGUCUCAAGCGUUGUUCGGAUUCAUUGGGCGUAAAGGGUGCGUAGGCGGCGCGGUAAGUCGGAUGUGAAAUCUCGGAGCUUAACUUCGAAACUGCAUUCGAUACUGCCGUGCUCGAGCACUGUAGAGGCAGGCGGAAUUCCGCGUGUAGCAGUGAAAUGCGUAGAUAUGACGGAGGAACACCGAUGGCGAAGGCAAUCCCCUGGACCUGUACUGACGCUCAUGCACGAAAGCGUGGGAGC
rnacentral:rRNA from 1 species